AAACAACCAUCGGAGUAGCACUGAAACCUUUGGUUCCGGCGAUGGAGGCAAAAAUUGCCUAAAAUGGAUGUAGAAAAAGGUCAAGAUAUGGAAAUUUGAAAACCAUUUCUUCAUUUAGCCCACUCGGAAAUGGGCCUGGGAGAGAAAUUUUUCUCUCAUAAUCCACUCUCUCUCUACAAUAUCAUGACUUCUUGGAAAGGUAUAUACUCAUUUUUCUCUUUUUUUUGUCAAAAUUAUGUUAAAUAAUAUUUCUUCUUUU
rnacentral:lncRNA from 1 species